rnacentral:sRNA from 1 species
UAAUCUCGGCCAUCCUCACCGGCCUGUGC